GACGAACGCUGGCGGCGUGCUUAACACAUGCAAGUCGAACGGAAAGGCCCUGCUUUUGUGGGGUGCUCGAGUGGCGAACGGGUGAGUAACACGUGAGUAACCUGCCCUUGACUUUGGGAUAACUUCAGGAAACUGGGGCUAAUACCGGAUAGGAGCUCCUGCUGCAUGGUGGGGGUUGGAAAGUUUCGGCGGUUGGGGAUGGACUCGCGGCUUAUCAGCUUGUUGGUGGGGUAGUGGCUUACCAAGGCUUUGACGGGUAGCCGGCCUGAGAGGGUGACCGGCCACAUUGGGACUGAGAGACGCCACAGACUCCUAGGAAGGGCAGCAGCGGGGAAUAUUGCAAAAUGGGCGGACGACUGAUGCAGCAGCGCCGGGUGCGGGAUGUCAGCCUUCGGGUUGUAAACCGCUUUCGCCUGUGACGAGGCGUGAGUAACGGUAAUGGGUAAAGAAGCACCGGCUAACUAGGUG
rnacentral:rRNA from 1 species